UGUUAUGGGUUAUAGCUCAUGGUUGCGUGCGACUUGUUAUUACGAUGUUUAAACCGACAUGAGGAUUGAGAAAAGACGAACCAUAUAAUAUCUACAACCACCUAUCUCACGGUGUGACUCUACUCUAAGAAAGACUACUCAAGUUUAAGCGAAUAAACUCACCAACUCACGAUCUUCUCAGGUUCUCAAGUGAAACAUAAAAAUAGGAAGAAACAAAAACGAAAACCGUCUUCAGUCUCUGAUCUCAAGUUUAUCCUAAGUAUUCUUCAGUCCUUUUAUAUUUCUUCAUAAACUCGUAAGUAUCAGUAGUGUAGUUUUCGUUAGUAGUCUUCGUUGUUAAAUCUCUAAUAUAUAUCAAGUAUUUCUUCUUAUCAUCUACUUUUAAUGCAACCACAGACUCAAUAAAAAUUCUACGAAACGAUACUGAUACAACUAAAAAAUAAAAAGGUUAUAAUAUCAACAAGAUACUGAUAAAAUGUAUAGUAAUAAAGAUACUAAAUAUAUUGUAUAUAUUACUUUACUAAGCAGAAAAAGUGUCCAGUGCACUGUAUACGGAUAGCUGAAUAAAAAAUUGCUAGAGUGAUCGAAGGUCAACUCGAGCACACACUGGUCCAUAGCAGCGGGGGGAAAACGGGACACCACAACUGAACACCAUUCACGAUACGACGACGACGACGACGACGACGGUGAAGACGACGACGAGACGCUAGCCAACCGAGCGGUAACUGACCUACGACGAUUCGUUCACCCCAACAACUAAUAUCAUCGUACAUAUCAUGUUGUCUCCCUAACUCGCGGACACGCGAAAGAAUCAAUCCUACACCCACGCACUUUAAUUAAAUCUAACUCACUUAAAACUUACUAUUCGUAGUUUUUUUCCUUUCUUCUUUUUCUUCUUCUGCCUCUUCUCAAUCUUAUACUGUUUUUCUUAUUAUUUCUUCUUUUUGUAAUCGUCGAGUAACUCGUAUUAUAUCACUGGGUCUUUAAUAAAUAAUAAAUAAACGUGAAGAAGGUGACUGUUGACAAAGAACACGAAAUGACAACCGGCGACUACCGCGACAGAGACGGCAAUGGCCCCGUGACGGUGGUUUUAACACUCGCCAUGCCAAAGCCAAACCCGUUCGCGUUAGUCUUCUCCCCACUCUCGAAUCUUUUUCAGUAUCCCCUCUCUUUACUCUUUACUCUAUACGCUUGUACUUGUACUUCACUUAACUGAACUCUCAAUAUAAUACAAAAUACAUACAACACAGAACACAACCAAGUCAAUAUAGGUAAGUACAAUAUAAGUAAAAUGAAGAUUCUUCUUUUCUUCUUCUUCAUGUAUAUGAACUUACAUACAAAUAAGUCUAACAAGUAUUAUGUGUAGACAUGCCAGUGUGUUUUGAUGGUGUUACUUCUUAUUCCUGCCGACUUAACAUCGGUGUGGUUGGCGCUAGCGUCUUGUCGCGCGGGAACCACACGGGAGAACCGGUAAAUCUUUCGCAUGAAGAGGAAAUGCCAACGAACUCUUACUCGUCUGCACACUCUUUUCUUCUCUUCCUCAUCUUUGUUGGUUAGGUUAGAGUGUAGAGUUUGUAACACGAUACUAGAUAGGAGCUUCGAACUUUAAGAGAACGUCAGCUGAUGAUAAAUUCGCUCUCAGUAUCGACGAUGCGGACGCGGUUGGCUGGAAGUUAGAAGGACAUCGUAUCGUGGUUAACCCAUUUAACCAUCGAACGUUCCACUCCCUUGUCCUUGCUCCCAUAAUACUGACGGAAGUGUCAAAGCUGGCAAAGUUAUUCUUGCGUUGGUACUGAGACUGGUACUGGUGCUUAUAUAUCAGCAACGAUAAUAAAAAAAAGACAUUUAAACUGAGUAUUAAUAUAUGCACUGUGCAAAUACGAACGAUGAAUUGACGACGAUUCCAUUCCGCAAUUAAAAUGCACUUGGUCGUUAAACAAUGCCGGGAAAAAGAAAUAAAAGUUGUGAGCCGAUGUGUUUAUCCUCGGACGCUCUUCGUGCCAUUCUGCCACCUGGAGGUAAACUUUUAUAUCAGUACGGGUUUAAAGAAGAAAAUAAAAGUAUUAACAAAAUCCUAUCCGGUGCAUAGCAGUUGGAGGGUGGAUACGAAGGAAGGAUGUGAGUUGUAAGUAUAUGCUCGGAUAUAAUACUUAUAUAUACUUGCAACGAUGCUAUGUAUAGAUGUAUUGAGUUAUAAGUUUAAAUUUAACUCGUCAUUGAGUUUCAUCGAUUCGAUAAUCGUAUCAAUUCACGAAAACUUUCACCCAAUCUUGUAUGGUACGCCCGGAAGAAAGUGUAACUCGAUCUCCAGUACAUUCUCAAAGACACUUUUUUAAUAUAUACGUACAUAUAUAGUGUUGUCUUUUCUUGUCUUCACUUAUUGUUCAUUUGCACAUGUUAUUAUACACAUGCAACAUGAAAGAUAGAGACGAAGAGUAAUGAUGAUGGCAAAACAAAAAGAAUAUAAAAAGUUGAGUAAAAAAUUGCAAAAUGUGCGUUUCUGCUGGAUGAUGGAGUAGUUGGACAACGUGCUUAUUAUGUCGAGGCAAUAAUACCAGCUCCGAAGUAUACUCUGGACGUGAUUAAACACCCGUAUAAUAAUCGACCCUGCGAUCAUUGAAUUAUUGAAUUAGUGGUUGAUCGAACAAGCAAAGGAAAGUCAGACUCAGAUACAGAGAUCAUGCAUCGAACACAGCACCCACGAGUAUGCGUGUCUUGCGCUUGGGAAAGCUUUCAUGCAUCCUGAGCUCAGAAAAAUUAUUCAGCGUGACGACCGGAAUGUUGACUUACCAUAUUGGAGACAGUACUCUUGACUUGGGCGAGUAAUUGUGAGGCAGGAGACAGAUAAGACUCGA